UCUCGCUCUGGACCCCAUUCCAAGCGUUACCUUGUGUUCUGACGUCUCAAGACGAGCCGCCCAGCUUGUACCCCUCUGGAUCCUGCUACCGACGUUUCCCCGUGCUCAAGAAUCAUUCCAACACUUCCUUGAUGUUACCAAGCCGGGCUGAGGACUGUCAUUCGAUUGUCCUGGUUCCUCCAGCUGCAGUGACGUGCGGUAGGGUUCAUAGCUGCUGUCAUCAGAUCACCUCCCACGCUACCGCUGCUCGGGCCUCUCACGGACUCCACCUGCCCGCCCACUGGCCGCUCUGUCACCUGCCGCCAUCUUGGGAGAUCUCUCACUAGGUCCGUCUCUCCUCUCCACUCCCACUGGCUGGAUCACGGUGCUCGGCGAUCGCCCGAGUCAGGUCUCGCGUCUCCCUCCGGCGCUGCUUGUCAUGGGUUUACCACACAGUCACCU